UUUACUUAUAUGAUUACCUUGAAUGUGAUUUGGAAUGACUUCCUAAAUCUCAUUCAUACUCUGGCUAGAGAUUCUUAAUCAUAUCAUUGAGUAUUCUCCCUCAAAUGGUUUGAAGGUUAGAGAUCCCUUGUUGCACAUUCACUUGCCUCCAUGGCUAAGUGGCUUAACCCCAACUAUGCCGUGGACACCCUCGAAUGGAGUGACUUUGACAUAGUCAAAGAUCAAGGACUUAACCACAAGACAACUAUGAUGCCUCAGGUCAAAGGACUACUUUGCAUUAUCCCAACCAUGAGUUUUCAUGUGACAUGAGUAUGAGAACUCCUCGUUGAUCGUGUUCAGUGGACUCAUUCGUUAUUGAGCACCUACAUGCUUAUCUUGGUGUCAAUCACACCAAUGACUCAAGACCAGUCACUCUCACUAAAGAGAAGACAUAGCACAUACUGAUCUUAACGGACUGUCAAUG
rnacentral:lncRNA from 1 species